UGAGUCCGGAACAAGAUGGGAGAUUCAGAAUCAAGGUUCAGAGAACCAGAGGACCUGAGAAAAAGCAUGGGAGGCAAAGCCAACCCUUCCUGUCUGCCAUUGGUUCAGAAACUAGGUUGAGGCCUUUCCAGGCACGAGUCACAGGGGCCCUCACGUCCCAUGCACAGGCCAGGGUCAGAGGAGGCGGCUUGGAGCUCAAGAGAGCACUGUGGCUGUUGGUGUGUCCACGGGAACAUGACCCUCACGUGCUCUUUGUGUGUCUGUGGGCGUCUGAUUAACGCCGCUCCCCUCAGUUUCCUGGUCUGUGAAAUGGGGGUGCUCGCAGCUCCUGGCUUCGGGGUUCUGGAACUUGACGCUUUGCACCGUGCUCUGCACAUAAGAAGACAUAUUGGGAAUCGUGAUGCUUCAAACUUGCCAUGUGAAAACGGAGGUGUUCUGUUUUCUCUUUAGUUCACCUUUUUUUUCUUUGCCUUUGUGGGCACUGUUUUAUUAAAUCAUCAAUGCCUUUGGACCACA